AACGAACGCUGGCGGCAUGCCUAACACAUGCAAGUCGAACGAGACCUUCGGGUCUAGUGGCGCACGGGUGCGUAACGCGUGGGAACCUGCCCUUAGGUUCGGAAUAACUCCCCGAAAGGGGUGCUAAUACCGGAUAAUGUCUUCGGACCAAAGAUUUAUCGCCUUUGGAUGGGCCCGCGUUGGAUUAGCUAGUUGGUAGGGUAAAAGCCUACCAAGGCGACGAUCCAUAGCUGGUCUGAGAGGAUGAUCAGCCACACUGGGACUGAGACACGGCCCAGACUCCUACGGGAGGCAGCAGUGGGGAAUAUUGGACAAUGGGCGAAAGCCUGAUCCAGCUAUGCCGCGUGAGUGAUGAAGGUCUUAGGGUUGUAAAGCUCUUUUACCCGGGAUGAUAAUGACAGUACCGGGAGAAUAAGCACCGGCUAACUCCGUG
rnacentral:rRNA from 1 species